rnacentral:lncRNA from 1 species
UUUAUUUCAACCAAGUCCUUUAAUAUUUCUUGGAUAUUUUAUAACCUGAAGCAAUUUAGGAUAAAUCAUUUGCCUCUUGAUUCUCCGGUCGAGGUAUAUGGUCUAUAGAGACACGGUCGAAGCAUUUCAGUAAGGAGUUGACAAUGACAAAGUACAACAUCAAAUUUUCUCUGAUUCACUUAUAUUCCUUUUUCAAUUGUCUAACCACUAACUCUGAGUCACCUUUUAUUUCAACGUCUCUUAC